AUUGAACGCUGGCGGCAGGCCUAACACAUGCAAGUCGAACGAGUGGCGGACGGGUGAGUAAUGUCUGGGAAACGGCCCGAUGGAGGGGGAUAACUACUGGAAGCGGUAGCUAAUACCGCAUACCAUCGGAUGUGCCCAGAUGGGAUUAGCUAGUGGGUGGGGUAACGGCUCACCUGGGCGACGAUCCAUAGCUGGUCUGAGAGGGUGACCAGCCAUACUGGUCAUGAAGCCGGGUCAAGGCUCCAACGGGAGGCAGGCGUGGGGAAUAUUGCACAAUGGGCGCAAUCCGGUUGCAACCAUGCCGCGUGUGUGAAGAAGGCCUUCGGGUUGUAAAGUACUUUCAGCGAGGAGGCGUUACUCACAGAAGAAACAACGGCUAACUCCGUGCCAGCAGCCGCGGUAAUAC
rnacentral:rRNA from 1 species